UUAGUUUUUCUUUUUUUCUUCUUCCUCCUCUCGGUUCUUCUCGAUUUAUCCUCUCUGAACUUCUGGUGAUUUUGGUUCGAGUUUGAGAAGAUGAUUUCGAGUUCGAGAACGCAAAGAAAGGAUGGGUUUUACAUGAAUUGGAUGUUGCAGCAGUUAAAUGUGAUGAACGGAGAGUGUUUUGGUCUGUGUUAGGGUUUUGAAUUUGAAUUAGAAUCGAGAGAAAAAGGGGAGGCGCUGUUAAUGGAGAAAACGAGAGCAUUCUGAGAGAUAAAUUGAGAAGAUGAAGAAGAGAGGUCUGCUAUAGAUGGAGAAUGGGUUUGUGUUUGAAUCACUUGAUUUGGAAGAAGAAACCAGAGAAGAAAUUAAUGGUGAUGUUCUCAGUUGAUGAAGAAGAUGAAGAGGUUUAGAUGAAUGUUAGGACAGGGGUUAAUGGGUUCACGAAUUCAAGCAAUAAAGGUAAUGAAUUGGGGAAGAAUUGUGAGUUUAGUGUUUUGAAAUUGCAAUUAGGGUUUUGAACUUGAUUCGAAUUGAUGAUGACCGCUGUUGUGAAUUGAGUUAGUUUUUGGUGUUGAUUUGAAGAUGCGGUAGUGGAUUGCAGUAUUGUUGUUGUUGUUCUAUAACUGAUGGGUUGGAGCCAAUGUUGUUUAAGCUGAAUGGCUAGACAUGAGGCUGUGGGUCUAGUUUUGGUGUUGCAGCUGAAGAUGGUGGUUGGGAUUAUUGUUUCGUCUGAAGUUUAGAGAUGAGAGGCGCAGUUUUUCUGAGAGAAGAGAGACGUAGAAAAUCAGUGGAAGAGAAUUUGAGCAGGGAGGAAGAGGAGUUGUUACUGCCAUGGAUUUCAGUGGGUUAACUGAGAUUCUCGAAAUGGUAAUGAACGAAAGAGAUUCAGUGGAAGUUUUAGAGUCUUGAAUGAAUUAGAAGACAUAGGUUCUCAUCAGAUUUAAUUUGCAGCAAAGGAAAUGAAGAAACCAAGACGAAUUCCUGAUGGUGGAAGUUAGGGUUUGGUUGAUGGCCGGGAAUUCAGUUGAAGUAAAUGAAGAUGCUGCUACUGUUGGCUUGAGGGUAUGAUGGUGUUAUGGACUAAUUGCAGUUGAAAUGAACAGGCAGGGGAGUAGAGGUCUAAAUCUAGUGCCACUCUGGCUAAGCGCCCUACAGCCAUCCAAACUGUUACAUCUGGUACUGUUUCUCAUUCAGUUUUACCACACAUUUCUCAGGGCUCUUAAUCAGUAAUGGUGAUUGAUUCGAGGAGCUCUCAGACACCUAAACCUCACUCAGGUGUUGUUAAGGCCAAUGCGAAUCCAAGUCCAGUUGUUCAAGUAUCAACCAUAGUUUGUGAAAAUUGCGAAGGAAAUGGUGUUGUGAGUUGCUCGCAGUGAGAAGGUAAUGGGGUGAAUUUUGUUGACCACUUUGACAGACGGUUCAAGGCAGGUGGUUUAGGUUGGCUUUGCAGGACAUGCUCAUUGCUGGAACCGAUGCAUCUUCUUCGACGCUUAUGUGGGCAAUGACAGAACUAAUUAGGCGUCCAACAGUGAUGGAAAGAGUACAAGAGGAAGUGAGAAGAAUUCUAGGCAAUAAGAACGUGGUAUUCGAAAUUGAUCUUCUCAAACUGAACUACUUGAAAUUAGUGGUAAAAGAGACACUGCGGAUUCAUCCUCCAGGACCACUACUAGUUCCAAGGGAAACUAGAGAUGACUGCGUAAUAAACGGGUACGACAUCCCAGCCAAAACAAAGUUGCUCUAAGAACAUAGAAUUUAAAGGGCAAGACUUUGAGAUGGUACCAUUUGGGAUUGGGCGGAGGGGUUGCCCUGGUAUUGACUCUGCUUUGGUCAUAAUUGAACUUGUUCUUGCAAAUCUUCUCUACUGUUUUAAUUGGGAAUUGUCCCUUGGAGUGGAAAGGAAAAAUGGAUAUGCAAGAAGCUCCUGGUAUCGCAGUGCAAAAGAAGAUUCCACUAAUGUAUAUCCAAGUUCAUAAGAAGUUGGGAAGGAGCUCAUCAAAGGCGGCUUGGGUGAUGCAUAAAUAAAGACAUUUCAAGACGCACGAGUUAAAUUCAGUACCCCGCAAAAUUGGAAGAAGAUUUUUCUCUAUAGAAAGGCUUGGUAUUAGCCGAUCCAAACUAUUUUUAUGUAGUGGUAAUGUCUUGCUUGUAAGGUGACGACAUUCUAAGCACAUAAUCAUGCAUGGUUUCAUCCAUGUCUUGCCAUCA